rnacentral:rRNA from 1 species
GACGAACGUUGGCGGCGUGCUUAACACAUGCAAGUCGAACGGAAAGGCCCUGCUUUUGUGGGGUGCUCGAGUGGCGAACGGGUGAGCAACACGUGAGUAACCUGCCCUUGACUUUGGGAUAACUUCAGGAAACUGGGGCUAAUACCGGAUAGGAGCUCCUGCUGCAUGGUGGGGGUUGGAAAGUUUCGGCGGUUGGGGUUGGACUCGCGGCUUAUCAGCUUGUUGGUGGGGUAGUGGCUUACCAAGGCUUUGACGGGUAGCCGGCCUGAGAGGGUGACCGGCCACAUUGGGACUGAGAUACGGCCCAGACUCCUACGGGAGGCAGCAGUGGGGAAUAUUGCACAAUGGGCGGAAGCCUGAUGCAGCAACGCCGCGUGCGGGAUGACGGCCUUCGGGUUGUAAACCGCUUUCGCCUGUGACGAAGCGUGAGUGACGGUAAUGGGUAAAGAAGCACCGGCUAACUACGUGCCUGCAGCCGCGGUGAUACGUAGGGUGCGAGCGUUGUCCGGAUUUAUUGGGCGUAAAGGGCUCGUAGGUGGUUGAUCGCGUCGGAAGUGUAAUCUUGGGGCUUAACCCUGAGCGUGCUUUCGAUACGGGUUGACUUGAGGAAGGUAGGGGAGAAUGGAAUUCCUGGUGGAGCGGUGGAAUGCGCAGAUAUCAGGAGGAACACCAGUGGCGAAGGCGGUUCUCUGGGCCUUUCCUGACGCUGAGGAGCGAAAGCGUGGGGAGCGAACAGGCUUAGAUACCCUGGUAGUCCACGCUGUAAACGGUGGGUACUAGGUGUGGGGUCCAUUCCACGGGUUCCGUGCCGUAGCUAACGCUUUAAGUACCCCGCCUGGGGAGUACGGCCGCAAGGCUAAAACUCAAAGGAAUUGACGGGGCCCCGCACAAGCGGCGGAGCAUGCGGAUUAAUUCGAUGCAACGCGUAGAACCUUACCUGGGUUUGACAUGGAUCGGGAGUGCUCAGAGAUGGGUGUGCCUCUUUUGGGGUCGGUUCACAGGUGGUGCAUGGCUGUCGUCAGCUCGUGUCGUGAGAUGUUGGGUUAAGUCCCGCAACGAGCGCAACCCUUGUUCACUGUUGCCAGCACGUUAUGGUGGGGACUCAGUGGAGACCGCCGGGGUCAACUCGGAGGAAGGUGGGGAUGACGUCAAGUCAUCAUGCCCCUUAUGUCCAGGGCUUCACGCAUGCUACAAUGGCUGGUACAGAGAGUGGCGAGCCUGUGAGGGUGAGCGAAUCUCGGAAAGCCGGUCUCAGUUCGGAUUGGGGUCUGCAACUCGACCUCAUGAAGUCGGAGUCGCUAGUAAUCGCAGAUCAGCAACGCUGCGGUGAAUACGUUCCCGGGGCU